rnacentral:rRNA from 1 species
UACGGAGGGUGCGAGCGUCGUCCGGAAUCACUGGGCGUAAAGGGCGCGUAGGCGGUUCUUCAAGCGUGUGGUGAAAGUCCGGGGCUCAACCCCGGAUCGGCCGUGCGAACUGGGGGACUCGAGCACUGUAGAGGCGGGUGGAAUUCCGGGUGUAGCGGUGGAAUGCGUAGAGAUCCGGAAGAACACCAGUGGCGAAGGCGGCCCGCUGGGCAGUGGCUGACGCUGAGGCGCGACAGCGUGGGGAGCAAACAGG